rnacentral:lncRNA from 1 species
AACAGCAAAUGCAGGUUUCUUAGUCCGUCCGAUCUGCCACGUGACAGGAUCCAGUCCCUCUAUCUCCCUCUACCAGUUCUGCCCUGCCGUGUGGUUUCUUCUCCGUGGACUCCUCCUUCCUUUGCCCUCUCCCGAUCCCCUUUUGUGCAGCCGCUGCUCCUCUUCGGUUGCUCCACGGAGCCGUCGCCAACUGAGGGGAUGAUGGCCGGACGGCGAACUCACCGAGGCACGGCUCGAACUAAUCCGGAGGGGGUCAGGACUAUUUUGCGCCGCCGCGGAGGCGGCGGCGCUAGAGGCAGGUCGAGCGGAGGCGACAGCGUCGGGCGACGGGGUGGUGCAAACGGUGGGGGCCGCCCGGCUCGAGCGACAGUGGCGCCGAAGGCGGCGACGACGCCGGGUGACGAGGCAGCCCAAACGGCGGCGGCGCCAGAGGUGGGUCAAACGGAGGCGACGGCGCUGGGCGCCGCGGAGGCCCGAGUGGAGGGCGGCGACGACAAUGCGUGGCGGGCCUUCCUCCGCGCUGCCCCCCCCUCGCUGGCUGCCGGCUCCCGAAGCUCCGCCUUCACCGCUCUGUUCCUCCCCAGCUCCGCCGCUCUCCCUCCCCAUCUGCAGCUCGACGGCACCGGCGGCGGCUUGACGACGGCCGCUCCGUGCCCCUCCUCGCCAGAUCCGGCCUUAAGGUCGCCGGAUCUGGCCUUGGGAGGCGGUGGCGGCGGUGGCGGCUUGAAGGCGGCAGCAGCAGAUCGAAGGCUGCGGCAGCGGCUCGACUGCGGGAGCAGCAGCUCGAAGGCGGCGGCGGCGGCUCGACUGCAGGAACGGCUCGACGACAGCCAGCCCGCGCCCCCUCUACAGUGCAGUAGAGGUCCCAUCGAUCGGAUACUCUAUGAGUUCAACAUCAAAGUUUCUUAUAGGAUACUCUAUGAGUUCAACAUCAAAGUUUCUUAUAGGAUACUCUAUGAGUUCAACAUCAAAAUUAUUUAUAUUGACAUAGUAUCCUAUCAUAAUAUUAACAAUGUUGGACCAUACUUUUGGUGGGUGCUGCAUGCAGUUAUUAUUAUCAAAGCCAUGAAAGGUUCAAGGCUUCCAGCUGGUUGGCAAUUGCUCUUCAGGGUUUCUCUACCUGUUAACUGUUAUUGCCUGAUAUUAUUUCAGUUUUUUGGGUAGUUCCUUGGGAUGUCUUAUUUGUUGUUUAGUCGUUAUAUUCCUAUGCAUGAUCAUUAUUUAGUUGUUUUGAUAAAUGACCUUCCCUACUCUAUUUUUUAUCAUAUAAAUUAGUAUUCGGUUAAACUAUAGCAUAUAUUUUUUUGCAUGAGGCAAUAUUUGUAUUUAGCAGCAUCUCACUGACUACAUUCAUCCAUUUUCGUUUUCAGGCAUGGGCACAUGGCAGAUACCACAAUAUGAGGCAAACAUUGGACCUUAGCUAACAUAAAUGAAUAUGUGAUGCCACUUUCACUGAUGCUUCUAUGACCACUAGUCCGGGUAAUUUCAACUUUCUCAUGCUGUUAUAUGCUGAUGCUAUAUUACUUAGCAUGCUUUAGGAAAUUACAGACUAUUUCAUUCUGUUCAAAUUACAUGUUGUUAUUUGUAAUAGUGUGGGAUAUGCAUGCUCUUCAUUACUGUAUAUGGCAUGCUCUUCAUCAAGGUUAAACCGUGGAUCUAUUUUCCUUUUAUUAUUGGUGGCUAUAAAAUAGAUUGAUGCUAAUUAAUGGCAAGUUUGCGAAAAUACUGAACUCUCAUAUCUCCAGGAUUGGCUAUAAAAUCGUCAGUUCUGGGUCAUGGAACAGUAAACCUUAAUUUCUAUUUGUUUUUGCUAAUGGCCAAUCUGUAUAGAUUAAUUGUAAAACAUACACAAUAUGAGUUGCCACUGUGGUUAGGGUUGCGAUCUGCGGUUAGGGUUUGGGUAUGGAAUAGAGCAAGUGUGAUGGCCAAUGUGCAUGACAGAGUCAGCUCCACUAACCAAUGUCUCUAGAUAUGGUUCUACUCUGUGAUCUCCCCCAUCAUCUCCGUCAUGGAUUAGGUCUAAGCUUGAUUUAGGUGUGUGGCUGUCCAGCCAUCUGCGCUCCUCCAAUGGCAUGCUGCUGGAUAUGCAGCCAUCUCCAGCUUGGUUAUUCUCUGCUGAAAAAAAAUUAAUCCCUCCUAUCACAUCUAACAUUUGCUUCGACCCAUGACAAUUCUUGGUUUGGUAUGCCUUUUUUCACCAUCCUUUACUCUACAAUCCAUGAUUUGCAUUCAUUGUUUACAAGGUAAAUUUAUUGAAGAGUGGUCUGUUCUUUUGCGCUGCAGCAUUGUAUUGCUCAGAAGCUAUUUUCCAGUCAUCAAAAUCUCAUUUGGAUAAGCAGCUGUGUUCUGCUAUAUAUUUUUUUUGUCCACUGACUCUGUGAACAACCCCGCCAAUUAUACUAAAACCAAACAAAGGUACAUGAAGAACAAUCCGCCUGCAAAAUCAUUUCUAUCAAACACAUUCUUCACUUUUUAUUCAAGAGCUAAUAGACAAACCUUUCUAAGACGUAUCGUGUCUUGAUGCAUCUAUUUACAUGUGUCCUGACCGGUUUCUUUACUUCCAGAAAACAAUCCUUUGCAUAAUAAUAUUUGUACAGAUUCCAUUGGAAACUAUCCUUUUCAGAAAACACUACUUUUCAUUAGCCAUGUUAUUUCCCUUUUGUGGUACUUGCCGACCUGACAGUAAUAGAAGGAAAAACAGUUGUAGUUUCAUUAUUUCAAACUCAAUCGCACGUAUGCAGCUAUAUAUAUGGGCUAUAUAUAUGGGCUAUGGUUUAAGUAGGUGGACCUACUCUUGCUUCAAUCUUUCUUUGUGGUAUAGCAUUUGAGAAACAUUAGUUAUAAUGUUGCAUAAGUGUAGAAUUGAAGAACUGGUGUACCUUCCGGUUUCCUGAAACAUUACUGUUGCCUACGAAUUUUCAUGUGUCAUGCUUAAUAUUUGGUGUCCGUUUUUCUUUCUCAAUUUACAUAAUUCAAAUAGACCUUACCAUAUGCCAAUUUGAAAUACUUGGAUGUGAAUUAAAUUUAGAUCUCCUUUUUCCCCGGCACAACGCGUGGGGUGCUGACUAGUUAAACA